UUAACUUUCUCACAAACCCUCUGUGAAGUGAAUCCCUUCGCCAAGCCUCCCCUGUGGGGAGCACAGCAGCUUGGCACUUCUACAAUACCUUUCAUCCAAGCUAAGACAACUUUGCAAAGAUGGGGUUUGCUGGCCCAGCUUGGUGACAUGGUAUAGCAGGCCCCCUCCCUGCGCAGCAGCUGCCAGAGCCGGUGAGACGUGCCCAGCAGGAAGAGAUGACAAAAUUGAGGGAGAGAUGGGAAGACCUAAAUUUUCAUCACGGGAAUACAAGAAGUUAAUUUCCCAAGGUCACACUGGAAGACAGGGUAGACAAUUUG